CCUUCGAUAGCUCAGUUGGAAGAGCGUGAGACUGUAAUUGGAAGCUCCAUUACCGUGCAGCUGGCAUGGGCAUCUCAAGGUCACUGGUUCGAUCCCGGUUCGAAGGA